rnacentral:tRNA from 1 species
GCCUGGGUGGCUCAGUCGGUUAAGCGUCCGACUUCGGCUCAGGUCAUGAUCUCGCGGUUCGUGAGUUCAAGCCCCACAUCAGGCU